CGGGUGAACUUUUGAACUGUCAAAAAAGUGAUAGUAAUCAAAACAUUGGCUGCUCCUUGAAGCGCGAAGAAAUAAUUUUAUAAAGUUUUGUGAUAUAUAUCAUUAUUUUGACGAUUAUCAUGGAACAACAAGAUGCUGGGCAUAUAAAUAUUGUAAAGGUCACGAUUUCACUUGGCCAGGUUUUUGACUAUGUUGGGGAUUCCGUGAAACCUUUGCGAGAAGGCCAAAAUGUAUUCGAUUCUGGUCACAUCAUUUGCAUAGGCUACACAAAAAAAAUUGCAGGAUUAUCUGGAGUUGACGUCAUAUGUGCUACAGAGCUCUCGCCCAGCAGAUGUUCCGCAUGAGCUACGUUUGAAGAUCGGAUCAGACUACCGCAAAUGGUCACUGUGCUGUUCCUGCGAGGCUGGAACAUCCCGAUGCAAGCAUAUUAUUGCUUGUCUUCUGCACCUGUGCCAAUUCAGAUCGGUUGAAUUUAUGACGUGCACGGAUUCCCGACAAGCUUGGGGUAGGAGUAGAGCUGAAAUCAUCCAAUGGAACGCAAAACCACUGAUGCAACUGUGUUGUAUUCGACAGCACCCAGUCGUUACUCCGGUUGAUACAUUAAAUAAGCAAGAGCUUCUUCAGCAGGCCUUCGACCGAGUGAAGUCAUGAAGUUGAACGUCCAUAACAUGAUUUUUUUUGUAUAUAGCAUCUCCGAGUUCAGCGAUCCAGAAACACAUCUGU